rnacentral:rRNA from 1 species
AUGACUAGGGAUAACCUUAGGAAGAGACACAUCCAACCCCUUGAUUGUGUUUACUGCUUGGAACAAGAGUCUUGUUCUCACCUAUUUUUUGAAUGUAUAGUUGCUUAACAUCUCUGGGCCCACAUUGAGGAAUAUUUCUCUAGUCAGAUUGGCUCAUCCUUCGAAUAUGUCGCCAGAUUCUGGAUUGCUACCAAAAAGUGCUCAGUUUUUAAUACUGUUAGCUCAGCUGUCCUUUGGUGCCUCUGGAAAUAUAGAAAUGCUAUGAUUUUCAGUAACACCUCCUGGAUUUCCAUUCCGCAGGUCUUGAGGUUGAUCAGGAACAUGGUGAGGACUGGGUGA